UAAGGAAUAUUGCGCAAUGGGCGAAAGCCUGACGCAGCGACGCCGCGUGGGGGAUGAAGGUCUUCGGAUUGUAAACCCCUUUCGGGAGGGAAGAUGGAAUGGGGUAACCCAUUCGGACGGUACCUCCAGAAGCAGCCACGGCUAACUUCGUGCCAGCAGCCGCGGUAAUACGAAGGUGGCAAGCGUUAUUCGGAUUUACUGGGCGUACAGGGAGCGUAGGCGGUUCGGUAAGCCCUUUGUGAAAUCUCCAGGCUUAACCUGGAAAAGUCGGAGGGGACUGCCGGGCUAGAGGACGGGAGAGGAGCGCGGAAUUCCCGGUGUAGCGGUGAAAUGCGUAGAGAUCGGGAGGAAGGCCGGUGGCGAAGGCGGCGCUCUGGAACGUUUCUGAUGCUGAGGCUCGAAAGCGUGGGGAGCAAACAGGAUUAGAUACCCCCGUAGUCCCUGAGCGGGCUGGCAAGGCGCAU
rnacentral:rRNA from 1 species